rnacentral:rRNA from 1 species
UACAGAGGUCUCAAGCGUUGUUCGGAUUCAUUGGGCGUAAAGGGUGCGUAGGUGGCGGGGUAAGUCAGGUGUGAAAUUUCGGAGCUUAACUCCGAAACUGCAUUUGAUACUGCCUUGCUUGAGGACUGGAGAGGAGACUGGAAUUUACGGUGUAGCGGUGAAAUGCGUAGAUAUCGUAAGGAAGACCAGUGGCGAAGGCGGGUCUCUCGGACAGUUCCUGACGCUGAGGCACGAAGGUCAGGGGAGCAAACAGG